GCCGCUAUAGCUCAGUGGUAGAGCAUUGGUCUCGUAAACCAGGGGUCGGGAGUUCAAACUUCACUGGUGGCA